AUGAAGGGAGCCGUUGCCGGGAAGGUCACCCAGCUUUAUUGUCCCGCUAGGAUAGCGACUUUAAUUACCGCGAUGACCGACCCUGGCCCCUUUCGGGCCUUUUCGAGUAGAGUUUCCCCGGGCUGGGGCGGAGCCGAGGCGGGUGGGAGCGGACCUCCUCCUUCGCGCUUCCUUGCCUCGGGGGAGGCUCCCCGGGUCCGGGGCGGGGGUCUUCCUCCGCUUGGCCGGGCCCUGGGCUUUGCAGUGGCUCGGGCUCCCUUUCCCGUUGGCCUUGGGGCGGCCGGGGGCCUUUGGGGUCUUCGCGGGCCGGCGGAGCGAGGCCGGCGGCUCCGAGGUCCUGCCCUUCCGACCCGCCAUCCGGUCCUCCGGGGGACCCCUCGAGGUCCGCGGCGCCGUCCUCCUCCUUUUGGCCUCGACCCUCGCUUGGGCCCCGGCCUUCUGCUGGGCCCUUGGAAUCCGGGGCUUGGCCUUGCCCUUCGGCUUGGCCUUGCCCCUCGGCUUGGCCUUGCCCCUCGGCUUGAUUCCGUCCUGCCCCUCGAUUUUGCCCCUCGGCUCGGCCUCGUCCCUCGACUGGAGCGUGAUGCUGGGCUUCGGGCCCUGGCAGACCCUGUAGGUGCCCGAAAUCCCCCGGCCGUUGAUCCUCAGGAGAGCCCCCUGGGAGUCGGAGCCGCCCGCCGUCCUGCGCACGUUGUAGCCGGCGUCCUGAAACUCCUUCCUGAGCCGGGCCAGAGAGAGUCCCCUGCGGCCGGGGGCUCCGGCGAUGGCCCGCAGCAACAGCUGGGACAGGGGGAGGGCGGCCCGCCGGGCCCGCGGGGGGGACGAGGCCUGGGCAGCGUCGGAUGGCCGCGCCUCGCCCAUGGCUCCGCUCGGUUCGGCCUCGCUCAGUCCGGCUCGGUUGGCUCGGGCCCGGCCCGGUUCUGCCGCCCGCCUGCUCUGUCCCGCGCAGACCCCCGCUCUGCUGCCAUCGCCGGCUCCUUUCUUGCGUUGGGGCGGAGUCAGGGCAGGCUCGUCGCCGUCACAAAGCCGGGCCCCGUUGCUACCUUUCAAGUCAGUCAAAAGUAUUUAUUGAGCGCCUACUAUGUGCAGAGCACUGGACUAAGCGCUUGGACUGUACAAUUCGGCAACAGACAGAGAUCAUCCCCCGGCUCACGGUCUAAACGGGCGAGACCGACAGCAAAGCGAAACAGAACCAAACCAAACCAGAUCACCUCGUCAAGAUAA
rnacentral:lncRNA from 1 species